rnacentral:rRNA from 1 species
AUGGAUCUUGCAAUAUCUGCCGUUACAGGUGACCUCGCCAGCCGAUUCAUCUCUUUUCUCAUGAACAAAUACACGGAUCAUGUAUGCUCAGAGGAGAAGGCGGAGAGGCUACAACAACUCUUGUGGAGAGUUCACACGGUCGUUGAGGAGGCGGACGGACGAUGCAUCACCAACUCUUGUAUGCUCAUGCAGUUGAAGCAGCUAUCGUCAGCCAUGUACCAAGGGUACCAUGUGUUGGACAACGUCAGGUACAAGCAACAUAAGGAGGCAUCCAAGGACUUGGUGAGCGAUUCAUCUACCUCGUCCGAUUAUAUCAUUCCUUUCAAACGUGCUCGGACAGCCUAUUCUUCGACAAACAAGGCCUCCAACUCGGGAUUACAAAGUGCACUUGAGAAUCUGGAAGGUGCUGUUACUGACAUGGUGGAGUUUGUUGUGCUUUUGGGCGGAUGCGAGCGCAUCUCCCGGAGACCGUAUGAUGCCUAUCUUCAGGUCGACAACUUCAUGUUUGGUCGGCAUGUCGAGAAGCAGAAGAUCAUCAACUUCUUGCUGCAAGAGAACAUACCUGGUCCUCCGGCAGUGCUACCAGUCGUUGGUGGACGUGGAGUUGGGAAGAAAACUCUUGUUGCACAUGUAUGCAGGUAUGACAGGGUGCGUUCUCACUUUGCAGUUAUUUUGCACCUAAACGGAGACGGUCUUACGAGAAUAACAGACCAUGAAAUUCCGUCAAGGAGGACACUGGUAGUUGUCGAGUUUGCUUCCGAUGUAGAUGAUGAUGACUGGAAAAUAUUUUAUUCAUCUGUUACGUGCAUGGACAGAGGAAACAAAGUGAUAAUCUUAGGCCGAAAUGAAAGCUUGAAGAAACUUGGGACUGUCCAGAGUAUAUCUCUGAACCGUCUGUCAUUCGAGGAGUACAGGUACCUGCUCAAGACGCUCGCAUUCGGAAGCCUGAAGCCAGGAGACCAUCCGUGGUUAGCAACGAUAGUGGAAGAGUUCGCUGUGGUGUUGGAAGGAUCACUUGUUUCAGCUAACUUGCUUGGAUAUGCAGUGAGAAACAAUCUAAAUGCCCAUUUCUGGCUUAGCACAUUGAACAAGAUCAGAAUCACAAGGAAGAUGAUCAUGUCCAGGUUUGGCUGCCAUCCAAAUGGCCUUUUCGAUCAAGACCGUCCGGUGCACUUUGGCUCUCACCACCUCUUGUCUCCUGCUGCUCGCCUUAUACCCUCUGCUAGCUGUCUGGAUAGUAGUCUACCCAAAGUCAUAUUCGGGGACGUACUAGCAGAACCAGGCCAUAUUGCUCCAACGAAGGGAGAUUUUAGGCUGAUCUCUUGGGAAUCAAGGUUACCACCAUAUACUGCGUUUGUUCAUCUGUCUCGCUUUGUUCCAAGUUGUGUGGAUGAUAAGCCUGAAGCACCCUUGUCAGGGAGGAAGCGUCUGGGGCCAUCUGCGUAG